rnacentral:rRNA from 1 species
UACAGAGGGGGCAAGCGUUGUUCGGAAUUACUGGGCGUAAAGGGCGCGUAGGCGGCCUGCUAAGUCGAACGUGAAAUCCCUGGGCUCAACCCAGGAACUGCGUCCGAUACUGGUUGGCUUGAAUUCGGGAGAGGGAUGUGGAAUUCCAGGUGUAGCGGUGAAAUGCGUAGAUAUCUGGAGGAAUACCGGUGGCGAAGGCGGCAUCCUGGACCGGCAUUGACGCUGAGGAGCGAAAGCCAGGGGAGCAAACGGG